rnacentral:tRNA from 1 species
GCCUGGGUGGCUCAGUCGGUUAAGCGUCUGACUUCAGCUCAGGUCAUGAUCUCACGCUCGUGGGUUCAAGCCCCACGUCGAGCU